rnacentral:rRNA from 1 species
UACGAGGGGGGCGAGCGUUGUUCGGAAUUAUUGGGCGUAAAGGGCGCGUAGGCGGUGCGGUAAGUCACCUGUGAAACCUCCGGGCUCAACUCGGAGCCUGCAGGCGAAACUGCCGUGCUGGAGUGUGGGAGGGGUGCGUGGAAUUCCCGGUGUAGCAGUGAAAUGCGUAGAGAUCGGGAGGAACACCUGUGGCGAAAGCGGCGCACUGGACCACAACUGACGCUGAGGCGCGAAAGCUAGGGGAG